UACGGAGGGGGCGAGCGUUAUUCGGAAUUAUUGGGCGUAAAGGGCGCGUAGGCGGUCCGACAAGUCAAAGGUGAAAUCCCUCGGCUCAACUGAGGAACUGCCUUUGAAACUGUCGGACUUGAGUCCGGGAGAGGGUAGUGGAAUUCCCAAUGUAGCGGUGAAAUGCGUAGAUAUCAAGUGGAACACCAGUGGCGAAGGCGAGUCCCUGGACAACUCCUGACACUGAGGCACGAAAGCUAGGGGAGCAAACAGG
rnacentral:rRNA from 1 species